rnacentral:lncRNA from 1 species
GGUCAAUUUUAUUGGUGUCUAAGAAAAGCAAUGGAGGGACUCCCACCAAUCUUAACACUUUUCUGGCAUUGGAUUAGUUUGAAUCUUGAAUGAAGAUAGCUUAGUAUUUUAAACACUAUUAAGGGCCUUCCUUCAUACUAGGUUAAUGUUACAUCAUAAACUAUGGCUAGUUUGUUGUGUUACCAUAAGGCUUGUCAUAAGGAUUGAUAUAACAUAAU